rnacentral:rRNA from 1 species
ACUCAAAGGAAUUGACGGGGGCUCGCACAAGCGGUGGAUCAUGAGGCUUAAUUCGUCGCUAAGCGAAAAACCUCACCAGGGUUAGAAAUCUAGCUGCACGCCCCGUGAAAGCGGGGAAGCCUUCGAGGGUGCUAGACAGGUGAUGCAUGGUCGUCGUCAGUUCGUGGCUUGAGUUGUUCCCUUAAGUGGGGAAACGAACGCAACCCCCGUUGCCUGUUAUAAGUGUCAGGCGAGACAGCUCCCUCACGGGAGAGGAAGGUGGGGAUGACGCCAGAUCAGCAUGUCCCUCUGAUACCCUGGGCUGCACUCGUGAUACAAUGGUUGCUACAACAGGACGCAAUGCCGUAAGGCGGAGCAAAUCCUUAGAAAAGCAACCCCAGUUCGGAUUGAGGGCUGCAACUCGCCCUCAUGAAGUCGGAAUCGCUAGUAAUCGCAAAUCAGCAUCGUUGCGGUGAAUACGUUCCCGAGCCUUGUACACACCGCCCGU